rnacentral:rRNA from 1 species
UACGUGGGGGGCAAGCGUUGUCCGGAUUUAUUGGGCGUAAAGAGCGUGUAGGCGGCUUUACAGGUCCGUUGUGAAAACUCGAGGCUCAACCUCGAGACGCCGGUGGAAACCGUAAGGCUAGAGUCCGGAAGAGGAGAGUGGAAUUCCUGGUGUAGCGGUGAAAUGCGUAGAGAUCGGAAAGAACACCAACGGCGAAAGCACUCUGCUGGGCCGACACUGACACUGAGAGACGAAAGCUAGGGGAGCGAAUGGG